AAACAGGCUCUUUUAAGAGUUACCCAUACUUAAAAAAUGUAGAAC
rfam:Salmo salar isolate Sally breed double haploid chromosome ssa01, whole genome shotgun sequence.